AGUCGAGCGGAUGAAGGAGCUUGCUCCUGGAUUCAGCGGCGGACGGGUGAGUAAUGCCUAGGAAUCUGCCUGGUAGUGGGGGACAACGUUUCGAAAGGAACGCUAAUACCGCAUACGUCCUACGGGAGAAAGCAGGGGACCUUCGGGCCUUGCGCUAUCAGAUGAGCCUAGGUCGGAUUAGCUAGUUGGUGAGGUAAUGGCUCACCAAGGCGACGAUCCGUAACUGGUCUGAGAGGAUGAUCAGUCACACUGGAACUGAGACACGGUCCAGACUCCUACGGGAGGCAGCAGUGGGGAAUAUUGGACAAUGGGCGAAAGCCUGAUCCAGCCAUGCCGCGUGUGUGAAGAAGGUCUUCGGAUUGUAAAGCACUUUAAGUUGGGAGGAAGGGUUGUAGAUUAAUACUCUGCAAUUUUGACGUUACCGACAGAAUAAGCACCGUCUAACUCUGUGCCAGCAGCCGCGGUAAUACAGAGGGUGCAAGCGUUAAUCGGAAUUACUGGGCGUAAAGCGCGCGUAGGUGGUUUGUUAAGUUGGAUGUGAAAUCCCCGGGCUCAACCUGGGAACUGCAUCCAAAACUGGCAAGCUAGAGUAUGGUAGAGGGUGGUGGAAUUUCCUGUGUAGCGGUGAAAUGCGUAGA
rnacentral:rRNA from 1 species